AACGAACGCUGGCGGCAGGCUUAACACAUGCAAGUCGAGCGCCCCGCAAGGGGAGCGGCAGACGGGCGAGUAACGCGUGGGAAUCUACCCAUCUCUACGGAAUAACGCAUGGAAACGUGUGCUAAUACCGUAUACGUCCUUCGGGAGAAAGAUUUAUCGGAGAUGGAUGAGCCCGCGUUGGAUUAGCUAGUUGGUGGGGUAAAGGCCUACCAAGGCGACGAUCCAUAGCUGGUCUGAGAGGAUGAUCAGCCACACUGGGACUGAGACACGGCCCAGACUCCUACGGGAGGCAGCAGUGGGGAAUACUGGACAAUGGGCGCAAGCCUGAUCCAGCCAUGCCGCGUAAGUGAUGAAGGCCCUAGGGUUGUAAAGCUCUUUCACCGGUGAAGAUAAUGACGGUAACCGGAGAAGAAGCCCCGGCUAACUUCGUGCCAGCCGCCGCCGUAAAAC
rnacentral:rRNA from 1 species